rnacentral:rRNA from 1 species
CCUACGGGAGGCAGCAGUGAGGAAUAUUGGUCAAUGGACGAGAGUCUGAACCAGCCAAGUAGCGUGAAGGAUGACUGCCCUAUGGGUUGUAAACUUCUUUUAUAUGGGAAUAAAACGUUCCACGUGUGGGAUUUUGUAUGUACCAUAUGAAUAAGGAUCGGCUAACUCCGUGCCAGCAGCCGCGGUAAUACGGAGGAUCCGAGCGUUAUCCGGAUUUAUUGGGUUUAAAGGGAGCGUAGGUGGAUUGUUAAGUCAGUUGUGAAAGUUUGCGGCUCAACCGUAAAAUUGCAGUUGAAACUGGCAGUCUUGAGUACAGUAGAGGUGGGCGGAAUUCGUGGUGUAGCGGUGAAAUGCUUAGAUAUCACGAAGAACUCCGAUUGCGAAGGCAGCUCUCUGGCCUGUAACUGACACUGAGGCUCGAAAGCGUGGGGAGCAAACAGGAUUAGAUACCCGUGUAGUC